CAGUUAGUGUUUACAGGUUUUACCUAUAAACAUGUUGGCAAGACUGAGGGCUCUAGUUGGGAUAGAGAUUGGAGGGCCUAGAGAGACCAGAGAGAAGCAGAAGGAAGCUGUCCUUCACUCUCAGUGUAUAACAGGAAGAAACAAAUGGUUCUGGAAAGGCAUGGUGGUUCAGCAUCCUCCACCCCCAGCUCCUGAGUGAGUGGACUCAGCUGAAGAUGAAGUGAAGACGUUGAGGCAGGAGAACAGAGAGCUGCAGAGGAAGCAGAGCAUGGUGCAAGAGUCCUGUGAGGAGGCAGAGAGGCUCUGUGAGGAAGCCACGAGAAGAUCUGUGAGAUGAGGGCAGAGCAGCAGCUCUCUCUCUUUGUACCUGGCCCAGCUCUUGGUUCAUGCUGUAGGCGUCUGAGGAGCAGCUUCUCCUGCCUGUUUCCCUGAAUGGUGCUGGAGAGUUCUCCCUUCCUGGAUCUAUGUCCUUCUUGGUUGUCUGGCAAUCCACAUAGCUCUCAGCCCCAUCCAUGGACAGGUUAAAGGUAAGCAGAAGGUGGGGACAGCAGUGCAGUGGUGGACAGAAACUAAGUGAUCUAGGCCAGCAGCCUCCCUGAAGGGACUUUGGCCCAGAAAGCCAAACUUGUGGCUUUGAUACAAGCUCUAUAAAUGGCAAAAGGAAAGUCUACACUGACAGCAGGUAUGCUUUUGCCACUGUACGGAACAAUAUACAGACUAAGAGGGCUGUUGAUAUCUGCAGAGAAAGACCUAAGAUGCUAUGGCUAAAUAGAAUCAGAUGGCAGAUCUAACCACCAAACAGGCAUCCCAAAGAGCAAUGAUCCUGGCAGUCAAAGAGCCUAAAGAUUAUUAUGAUGUCAGAGAGACCAGCUUUAGAUACACCCCUGAAGACUAUCAAGUUAUGGUCAAAUUAGGACUGGUAAAAGAAAUCCUGUAUAGGGUAAUAAAAAAAGAAGAAAGAAAACUAGUCUUCUCAUGGGAAGAAGGACACAAGUAUGUUACCAGUUUACAUUACUUGACCCACUUGGGGACCAAGAAAUUAAAAGGUGUGGUUAACGGACCUGCCUUUGUUGCCCAGGUAAGUCAGGGACUGGCCAAGAUAUUGGAGAUUAAUUAGAAGUUACAUUGUACAUACAGGCCCCAAAGCUCAGGACAGGUAGAAAGGAUGAAUAGAGCUCUAAAAGAGACCUUGACAAAAUUAACCACAGAGACUGGCGCAGACUUGGUGCUCCUUCCCCAGGCCCUAUUUAGAACUGAAUAUUUAGAACUUGAUUCAGCCUUACUCUUUUUAAGAUCCUUUAUGGGGCUCCCAUGCCCAUCACCGUCUUAAAUGAUGUGUUUAAACCUACAUGUUGUUGUAAUAAUAAUAAUCUGUAUGCUAAGUUACAAGGCUUGCAGGUGGUGCAGAAAGAAGUCUGGUCACAACUGGCUACAGCAAAUGAGCCGGGUACCCCAAAGACAUCUCACCAGUUCCAGUCAGAGAUCUGAUCUACGUGGACCUGCAUCAUGCUCAGACCCUCAAGCCUCACUAGAAGGGUCCCUGCCUAGUCCUGUUUACUCUUCUUUCUUAUUCUGUUUUUGUUCCCAUGUUAAAGAUAGAGUAAAUGCAGUACAGCUUAUGGUCCUCCAGUGUCAAUACCAACCUAUAGUUAAGAUAGAAAAAGAAUAUGAUUUCUAUUCUCCACAUAGAGAUAUAGAUUUGUGAAAUUCUAAGAUUAGAAUUACUUAGUAGAAGAAGAGAGGAAUGAAAGAAAAUUAAAAUUCAAGGUCCAUGACAUAUGUGGCUUGCAAGUUAGGAAGGCUUUUUGGGCCUAGAGCAAAGAACAAAGGUUGUAAAGUCAUCCCAGGAACUGGCUAGCCAUAAAGAUAGAGAAGACAUACAAGAAUGUCCGGACUGGCCCGGCACCUCCCUAUCUCCCACCCUUCUGACCUGGGUUAAAUGUUAACCAGAUGCUCUGCUGACUUAGAUAAGCACCCAGCCCUCAGAAUUCCUGAUGCCCUGACCUGCACAUACUCUUUUUCUGAUGUUUAAAUGAACCAAUUGCGUGAAACCGCACCAAUUCCUCCCCCAGCCCCAGAUCCUUUUCUAUAAAAACCCCUAGCUUUUGAGCCUUGUGGUCGACAACCUCUGUCUCCUGUGUGAGAUACGUGUUAGCCCGGAGCUCCGUCAUUAAACUACCUCUUGUGUUUGCAUC
rnacentral:lncRNA from 1 species